AGCAUCAUAGCUCAGGUGGAAGAGCGAUGGGCCCAUAAGAGGUGCACCCAUAAGUCACUGGAUCGAGACCAGUUGAUGCUA